rnacentral:tRNA from 1 species
GAGGGUAUAGCUCUAGUGGUAGAGCACAUGCUUAGCAUGCAUGAGGUCAUAGGUUCAAUCCCCAGUACCUCCU